CUUACGCUAAUACCGCAUACGACCUACGGGUGAAAGCAGGGGGAUCUUCGGACCUUGCGCGAUUGAAUGAGCCGAUGUCGGAUUAGCUAGUUGGCGGGGUAAAGGCCCACCAAGGCGACGAUCCGUAGCUGGUCUGAGAGGAUGAUCAGCCACACUGGAACUGAGACACGGUCCAGACUCCUACGGGAGGCAGCAGUGGGGAAUAUUGGACAAUGGGCGCAAGCCUGAUCCAGCCAUACCGCGUGGGUGAAGAAGGCCUUCGGGUUGUAAAGCCCUUUUGUUGGGAAAGAAAUCCAGCUGGCUAAUACCCGGUUGGGAUGACGGUACCCAAAGAAUAAGCACCGGCUAACUUCGUGCCAGCAGCCGCGGUAAUACGAAGGGUGCAAGCGUUACUCGGAGUUACUGGGCGUAAAGCGUGCGUAGGUGGUCGUUUAAGUCCGUUGUGAAAGCCCUGGGCUCAACCUGGGAACUGCAGUGGAUACUGGGC
rnacentral:rRNA from 1 species